rnacentral:sRNA from 12 species
UAAGGGAUGCCGAAGUCGGGUCUCUGUCUCAAUGAACUUGCCGAUAAUUCGGGAGAUUGAAUAUGGCU